GGCGACUGCAGCGCCUACCUCGGGCGCGACGGGCGGGAGACGGGCGAGAGCAGGAGCAACGACGUCGGCCUCGGGCGCGACAUGCGGGUGCAGUGGAGGCCUCGGGCGAGAUGUACGGGAGCGGCAGCGGAGGCAGCGGCCUCGGACGCGACGGGCGGGAGCAGGAGUGACGGCACCAGCCUCGGGCGCGACGGGCGGGAGCAGGAGCAACGGCGUCGGCCUCGAGCCCGACAGGCUGGUGCAGUGAAGGCCUCGGGCACGAUGUACGGGAGCGGCACCGGCGGCGGCGGCCUCGGGCGCGAUGUGCAGGAGCAGCACCGGCGGCAGCGGCGGCCUCACGCCGUAGUGGUGAUGUCGUCUUCAGUUAAAGGCGGGUGACACCAGUGGUAAUGAUUUGUUUUCAGCCCUCUAGUCUUUCGUUCUCAUCGCUUCAUGGGCUUUCUUCUUCUUUUCCUUUCCGUGUGUCUGAUGAAACCCAAGAUGUAACUUAUUGAUCUUGAAUGGAAUAACAGGCCAAGUGUUUCUUUGCAUUAGUCCACUUGAUUUUUGAGAAAGGUGUGGUUGCUCCCGGGUGUAUAUAACAAUAUACUUAUUUUAAGUUGUUCAUGUGCUUUUGAAUUUUCUAGCUCACAUGCCAAUCGCCAUGCCACGAGAACAUGAACGUGUUUGUUCAGCUUUCUACGUGUGGGGUAGCUACUAUUCUGCAAAGAACAUGUUUUUACAUGCCAAUCAACAGAAAACUGAUGUAAAUACAUGCUUGCUGACUUACCAUUUUAUUUGAAUAUUAAUGGCAGGUCAAGCACGACGACCAUCCUGUAAAGAUUCUGCAAGGUCAACAAUGAUGAUAAAUGUUCUGUAUGCACAAUAGACCAAGAAGUGUUGCUGCAAGCAGGCAGGAGUUGCAGGACACAUGAAAGCUGGAAAUGAAAUAGAGGUUACCAUGAUGUAAUCCAUGCCAUUCUGGUCUUGCUGGAAAAGAAAAGGAUGAAUUGUAAUUCUGCAAGGCUCAAUGUAAACAAUAUGGUCAUACAGAGUUUUGAUUUUAUCUCUUUAGUAGGUGUGAAAGCUUUCAUACUUAAUUUGAUUAAUCGUCACUGUUUAUUUAUUUCUCUUUGUUUUUUUUCUUGAGCAGAGCCACUUCCUUCGGAUGACAGAAGAACUUGUCCUUGGGAUAUUUUAAAUUCAUUCUUUAUAUCUGGUGCAAGGAGGCCUGCUAUUUGCCUUACUUCACUUGUGCAACGAAUCGAGUAAGAAGUUUCAGUUUUCUUACUAAUAAUGCAC
rnacentral:lncRNA from 1 species